AAAGACACGUUGCCAUAAGUUUUGUGGAGAGUCAUUAUUGAAACUAUGGAAAUAUGAAUGCCGAGGGAGCCCAUAUACACUCACAGUACAGGGGAAACCAGUCAGAAGGCUUUGUACGCCACCUGUAUGUUAUUAGGAAAAUGAAGUUGUAGGUUUCGUUUGUAACUGGAAAGAAAGGGAAAGCUAUCGUGGAAAAAAUCUAGAUCCAGCACAGGUAAAUAUGGUCCUGGAAGCCAUGUGGGUAUUAGGGAUACGAGUAAUGUUGUGGCCUCUUGUGCUUAGCCAGGGAAUAAAUCAAACAUUGCCAGAAGCUGUGUGAGUCAGUACUGGGACAAUAGAACUAAAAAUGUGAAAGGAACCCGUAUACACACACAGAGUACAGAAGAAAAAAAACAGCAACAGAAGCUUAGGAUGACGUCUGUAUGUUACUGAGGCAAGGUUCAUGAGGCUGUAGGCUUCGUAUGUAUCUAGGAAUAAGGACAAUAAAACCAAAAAUGCUACAGAAACCCGUAUACACCCAGAGUACAGCAGAAAAAAACAGCAACAGAAGCUUAGGAUGACGUCUGUAUGUUACUGAGGCAAGGUUCACGAGGCUGUAGGCUUCGUAUGUAUCUAGGAAUAAGGUUGAAGCUAUAAGGUUCUGUACGAAUAGAUUGGGUGAAGGAGAAGCGUCACCAGAGGACAUAUAGAGUUUGUAGGGGAAGGUGUUAUAACGUUGGAGGCUCUGAGAGUAACCUGGGAAGCAUAGUUAAGUUAUAUGGCUCCAGUGUUUGAAGGGCCAGAGUAGGAAUGGGUGUUCUGUUAGUAUUCAGGUAGGAGGUGUGUGUUCUGUUAGUAUCCAGGUAGGAGGUGUGUGUUCUGUUAGUAUCCAGGUAGGAGGUGUGUGUUCUGUUAGUAUCCAGGUAGGAGGUGUGUGUUCUGUUAGUAUCCAGGUAGGAGGUGUGUGUUCUGUUAGUAUCCAGGUAGGAGGUGUGUGUUCUGUUAGUAUCCAGGUAGGAGGUGUGUGUUCUGUUAGUAUCCAGGUAGGAGGUGUGUGUUCUGUUAGUAUCCAGGUAGGAGGUGUGUGUUCUGUUAGUAUCCAGGUAGGAGGUGUGUGUUGUGUUAGUAUCCAGGUAGGAGGUGUGUGUUCUGUUAGUAUCCAGGUAGGAGGUGUGUGUUCUGUUAGUAUCCAGGUAGGAGGUGUGUGUUCUGUUAGUAUCCAGGUAGGAGGUGUGUGUUCUGUUAGUAUUCAGGUAGGAGGUGUGUGUUCUGUUAGUAUUCAGGAAAAAGGAUAAUAAGGUAAGGUAUUACUACAUUAGGCUCAUUGUUUAUCUAUGAAGGAUGGUGUUACUGAGGUUCGUUUUAAUCUAGAGUGAAGGAAAAAUCGUCUCCUCAAUACUCUAGUAGUCUACAGGUUACUGAGGUACCUUCCAACAGUGGUUUUUAAGUACACGUUUUAAUCCAAGCGCAAUUCAUAACAAUUUUCUUUCUCUCUGGUAACUGCAUCUCUUCGUAAGUUUCAUCUCUUUUCUAAGAUACUACAACUCGCAUAUUUUUUCCAAACGUUCUGAGGAAACCUUUCUUUGUUGUUAUAUUGAUCGGUAUUUAGCCAGGACAAAGAUAAGAGUCAAAUGAAGCAGUCCAGCGUCGGGAUAAGCUGCACGGAGGGAAGAAUAAAGUUAUAGGAUCCUGAACUAGCAGUAAUUACUUUCAUUUUCGUUACUCUGAUCUGUAUUUAGCCAAGGUAAAGGUAAAAGUCGUCUGAAGGUGUGUCCAGCGUCGGGUAAGAUGCACCGAGAGAAGAAUAAAAUUGUAAGAUCCUGUACUUGCACUGAUUACUUUCUUUUCGUUACUCUGAUCUGUGUGUAGCCAAGAUAAAGGUAAAAGUUGUCUGAAUGUGUGUCCAGCGUCGGGUAAGAUGCACCGAGAGAAGAAUAAAAUUGCAAGAUCCUGUACUUGCACUGAUUACUUUCUUUUCGUUACUCUGAUCUGUAUGUAGCCAAGAUAAAGGUAAAAGUCGUCUGAAGGUGUGUCCAGCGUCGGGAUAGGUGCACGGGAAGAAGAAAAAAGUUCCAAGAUCCUGUACUAGCACAGAUUACUUUCUUUUCGUUACUCUGAUCUGUAUGUAGCCAAGAUAAAGGUAAAAGUUGUCUGAAUGU